AGCCCGUGGUGGAUGGAGGCCUUGUUGAGGUCAAUGAACCAGUGAAGCCGAUUGUUAAAGAACAUGCUAACAAGAACCAGGAACUGAAUUUCCCUAUUGAUGAUAACUUGCUAGCCACCAAUGUUGUUCCUGGACCUGUUUCACCGGAGAAUAAUUCAUCUGUAUCAUAUCCUAUUAUAGAUUUUUCUGAUGCUGCCCCAAUUUCUGGAGUUGAUAAGGCCGCCUUGGAUCAGGCUGCCUUGGAAGAAGUGAUGGGUAAAAACGAUGGUGUUGAGCAGUCUCUCCUCAAAGCUCUUGAUGAGAUGGGUUUCAAGUGUGAUGCAUUUAACAAGGAAAUCUUGAGGAUGCAUGAAUAUGAUUUGGAGGAGACUGUGAACCAUCUUUGUGGUGUUGGGGAAUGGGAUCCUAUCCUAGAGGAGUUGAAGGAGAUGGUGAGUCUUCCAGCAUGAAAAUCUUUUUCGUAAGAUGUGUUUUGGUUUUUCUUUUGUUAAGCAAGUGUUAAAAAGUACCUGUUGUGUGGCUGCAGGGUUUCAAUGACACAGAACUGAACAAGAAGCUGUUGAGGAAGAACAAUGGCAGUCUCAAGCGCGUGGUCAUGGAUCUUAUUGCUGUAGAGAAAUAUUAGUCUGAACAUGCCUGGUUGAAAUCCCUGAUGUUAUGUUAUAUAAAUAAAUCUUGGAAUAGCAUAAAGCAGCAGCAGCAGCAGCAGCAAUCGCCGGAUGUUAUGCAUUUUAGUUUUUAAUUUCUAGAGCGGGCGUUUUUCGCCAAUUCUCUUUUCUUCUGGAACUUGCCACUUAUGGAUUAUAAU
rnacentral:lncRNA from 1 species